AAAAAGGUCAGCUAAGUUU
rnacentral:tRNA from 1 species